rnacentral:rRNA from 1 species
GUUUCCUCUUUGUCCUGAAAACACCAGAUCCCAUUUGAUCUUAAAAGCUAAGCAGAAUAAAUCCUGUUUAGCACUUAAAUCGGAGACUGUCAAUGAAUACCAGAAGUUGUAGGCU